GCGCGCAAGAAUGAUUAUCACAAUGACGACAUCAUCGCGCGACUUUCCAUGACAGUGGAGCGGCUAAAAGACAUGCCAUUCAUUAAGGCACAUAACACAGCACUAUAUGCUUUUGAGUGCAAUAAC